rnacentral:rRNA from 1 species
UGCGUAGGCGGUUAUAUUAGUCGGGUGUUAAAUCUUGGGGCUCAACCCCAAGCAAGCAUUCGAAACGGUAUGACUAGGAGGAGCGAGAGGUCUAGGGAACUCAAGGUGUAGGGGUGAAAUCCGUUGAUAUCUUGGGGAACACCAAAUGCGAAGGCACUAGACUGGCGCUUUCUCGACGCUGAGGCACGAAAGCGUGGGUAGCGAACG